rnacentral:lncRNA from 1 species
ACGUUUAUUUAAUCAGUUGCCUAGUAACCCUGCCUGUGUAUGACGUGAAUCUGAUUAGCCUGCGGCGGCAGCAAAUGAUGGGCCAUUUUUUUCUCCCAGCCACCAGUGCUCCCAGCCUGCUUCCGUGUGCUUUGAGGGUCUCCACAGACCCCACAGCCAAGUGAAGAAGAUCUUUGCAUGAACACGACCUUUCAGCUGGUGAAUCAGAUGACCAGAAAAAUUCCCCACAUCAGUUUUCUUUAUGGAGUGACCUACACACCAAGAAGAGCCGCUCAGCUCUCAAAACUGCUGUCAUGUAGAUACCUACGUGGAUAAACAAGUAAUGUUUCCACAAAACACUGCAGGUUAGGGCCUCUGCUCAUGGCAGGAUA